AUGAAGAUGUGAUUGAUUCUGAUGAAGAAUUGGACUUGGCUUCAAUGGUAACUGCUAAAUAGAGAGCAUCUAAGGUUUUUAAAAUGGGAAAAUCAGCAAUUUUGGAGUUGUUGGUGUAUUCUCUCCAUGAUUUUGUUGUGUGUCAAUUAUUUGUUACUUCAAGUAGAUUUUUUUUUUGGGCUAGCUGCCUUGAAUGUGGAAUAAUACAAGUUAUAAUGAUUUUUAGACAAUAAAAA
rnacentral:misc_RNA from 1 species